rnacentral:siRNA from 1 species
CCCUUGUCUUAUACCUCUUUCA